rnacentral:rRNA from 1 species
AGGUGCAAUUAUACCAACACUAAUGUACUAGAUCCCAUUAGAACUCUGCAGUUAAGUGUACUUGGACGAGAGUAGUACUAGAAUGGGUGACCUUCUGAGAAAUCCUCGUGUUGCACUUC